GGCGUGUUGGAGAAGUUGGUUUAACUCGCCGCCCUUUCAAGGCGGUAUUCGCUGGGUUCAAAUCCCGCACACGUCACCA
rnacentral:tRNA from 1 species